rnacentral:piRNA from 1 species
UGCCAGAAUAACUUUGCUUUGCCAAAGACAA